rnacentral:rRNA from 1 species
AUUGAACGCUGGCGGCAUGCUUUACACAUGCAAGUCGAACGGUAACAGGCCGCAAGGUGCUGACGAGUGGCGAACGGGUGAGUAAUGCAUCGGAACGUGCCCAGUCGUGGGGGAUAACGCAGCGAAAGCUGCGCUAAUACCGCAUACGAUCUAUGGAUGAAAGCGGGGGACCGAAAGGCCUCGCGCGAUUGGAGCGGCCGAUGUCAGAUUAGGUAGUUGGUGGGGUAAAGGCUCACCAAGCCAACGAUCUGUAGCUGGUCUGAGAGGACGACCAGCACCACUGGGCAUGAGACACGGACCAGACUCCUACGGGAGGCAGCAGUGGGGAAUUUUGAACAAUGGGCGCAAGCCUGAUCCAGCAAUGCCGCGUGCAGGAAGAAGGCCUUCGGGUUGUAAACUGCUUUUGUACGGAACGAAAAGGCUCUGGUUAAUACCUGGGGCUCAUGACGGUACCGUAAGAAUAAGCACCGGCUAACUACGUGCCAGCAGCCGCCGUAAUAC